rnacentral:lncRNA from 1 species
GCUAAGGAAACAGCCUCACUCAGCAAGGGUCACCUUUGGAAACAACGGCAAGACUUCAAAGCAGAUCAAUAGAGAAAUACCAAGACCUGAACUUCCUAGCAAAUGCUCUCUUCUAUUUUAAACCCUACCCCUCAAAGAAUGGCAAUCCUCCCAGAUGUCUCCUCAUCUCUAUUGCGUAUUUCUGCAACACCUAUGAUUAAGUUGCUUGAUGACCAUUAGAGGCCACAGCACCAAUCAGGAGAGCAGCUUACAGGCAUGAAGUCCGCGGGCACUUCCCACCAACAUUGGAAAGCAACACAUUCAUGGGAUCAGGAUUCAUUCUGCUGUUGUUUUAAAUCUAAAUUUUAAGUACCUCUCUAUUUUCACACAGAAGAACUCAUAUUAAACAUAUUGAUCUCUAACUUGAUUUGUUCUCAAAUAAUUUGAAGACCUUUUGGUGUACUCAAGUCACAAAGGAUAUUUGGUGGUGGACCGUGGACAAUCCAGACCAAACCUCCAGAGGGAAGGCAACCAAGGUUGUGCUGGAGAGGCCAGAAGCAGCAAAUCAUUAAGUCAUUUCCAUGAUGGACUAUACUCACUCUGUCUUUUGCCUCUGGUUGUGCCUGUUCUACUUUGUAAAUUCCAAAGAGAGAAUUUUUAUCUAGGUUGGGCCAUAUGUCUCUGCACUAGAUCAGUCAACCAUGGCCGAAGAGACUGGUAGAAGUGACCAUUGGAAGCAUCAUUAUGAGCUCUCCAGCCACUCCAGCUUGUGCUCUGCAAUUACACUGGUUUUACCCUCAUUUCCUUGAGCCAGUUUCUAAAUAAAAGCAACUUACCACAAC